rnacentral:rRNA from 1 species
UGGGGAAUAUUGGACAAUGGGCGCAAGCCUGAUCCAGCCAUGCCGCGUGUGUGAAGAAGGCCUUUUGGUUGUAAAGCACUUUAAGCGAGGAGGAGGCUACUUGGAUUAAUACUCUAGGAUAGUGGACGUUACUCGCAGAAUAAGCACCGGCUAACUCUGUGCCAGCAGCCGCGGUAAUACAGAGGGUGCGAGCGUUAAUCGGAUUUACUGGGCGUAAAGCGUGCGUAGGCGGCUUCUUAAGUUGGAUGUGAAAUCCCUGAGCUUAACUUAGGAAUUGCAUUCGAUACUGGGAAGCUAGAGUAUGGGAGAGGAUGGUAGAAUUCCAGGUGUAGCGGUGAAAUGCGUAGAGAUCUGGAGGAAUACCGAUGGCGAAGGCAGCCAUCUGGCCUAAUACUGACGCUGAGGUACGAAAGCAUGGGGAGCAAACAGG